GUUUCCUCUAUUAUUUGCUGUGGAUGCUUGAUUUGGAAUACAUUACUGGGGCAUCUCGUCCGUGUUGUCCAUGUGCAGCGCUUGUUGAUAAAGGGGAAUCUAGAAGAAGAAACUUCCUUUUUUAUCUUACUAUUUUCUUUCCAGUGUGCAUGAUAACAGAGAGAAUUACACGAAGCCACCACGGUUAGCUGAUAUGAAAACACAAGAUCAGUGUCUCAGAUGAAGGAAAGUAUUGAAUUUUAAGACUGUCUCCCUAAGCUGUAAUUCAAUAUCAGCAAUAACACAGGAGCACGUACUAAUCGAACAACUUGGGACGCUCGCCUUGCGUACACCGUCUUUCACAGAGGAGAAAGACACGUUCCAAUUCUCAUUUCUGCAGCUCCUGCUUACGCUGAAGGAAGGCGCUGUGGUGUGUGGUGUGCAGCUUUGUUGUGCUGUCGUCAGAACUGGACUGCUGGUCACACUGCAGCCCUGGAAGCAUCUCGAGGCAUCAUCUCAGAUCGCACACUCCUAUUUUGUAAAGACUGACGCAAAAGAAACUGCUUCCAUCUUUUCCUGUCAGUGUUCGGGGCCCGUUACGGGAUAGAACAUGAUCAAUUACUUCACAGCCCUGCCCACAGUGGUGACCCUGGCCACUCUGCUGCCCAUGGGACGCCUCCUGCUGCAGUCCAUCAUGCAGGACUCGAGACACGCUGACCGCCUCUACAGCAGACCAGAGGCAUUCAACCAUAAAUACGACUUUAUCAUAGUGGGCGCCGGAUCAGCAGGGUGCGUGUUGGCGGCCAGAUUGUCUGAGAUAGCUGGAUGGCGCGUGUUGCUGCUGGAGGCAGGAGGAACGCCGCCGCCCGAAAGCUACGUCCCGGGCCUGGUGGGUCUCGGGUACUUCAGGGGGAACAACAACUGGAGGUACAUCACGCAGCCUCAGAAAUACGGCCUCAAGAACUAUCAUAACCGGCAAGCUGCCAUCCCUCACGCGCGGGUGGUGGGCGGAGGUUCCACCACCAAUGGCAUGGUGUACGUGCGGGGCAACAGGCGUGACUACGACCACUGGGCAGCUCUUGGCAACCCUGGCUGGGAUUAUCACAACGUCUUGCACUACUUCAAGGUGUCCGAAGACUACCGCGGACACACCGAUAACUAUACAGACAGGUUCCACAGCCGGGGGGGACCGCUGGGCGUCACACCAGAGCCUAAGACAGGGAAGCUCGCCCGUGGCUUCCUGCAGGCUGGCAACGAGCUCGGCUUCCGGGUGGUGGAUCCCAACGCCGCCGACCAGAUAGGGUUCGCCAUGCCGGAAUACAACGUGUGUGAUGGCAUCAGGUGCUCCACAGCAUGGGCGUACCUUAGACCAGCCGCCACCCGUCCGAACCUACACAUUCUGCAUAGCGCUCACGUGCUCAAGAUUCUGUUCAACAAGUACAAGAAGGCGACGGGCGUGAUGUACAAGUACCGGGGACAGGUGGUGACGGCUCGAGCCAACCGGGAAGUGAUUGUGUCUGCCGGGGCUCUCUCUUCCCCUAAGCUGCUCAUGCUCUCUGGCGUGGGGGCGAAACACCAUCUCGAUCUGCACAAGGUGCACGUGGUAUCGGACGUGCCGGGCGUGGGACAGAACCUUCAGGACCACGUGGCGGUGUACGGCCUGGCCUGGACCGUUAAGCCCAACAUGCUCAAUAUGAACUCGGCCUUCUCCUUCCCAGCUGUGUCUCAGUACGUCCAUCACAGGAAGGGUCCGUGGACGGCGCCCCUAGGUGACUACGCCAGCGCUUGGGUGAAGGUGACAGAGGGAGGCGACCUAUAUUACCCUGACAUGCAGCUCUACCUCUCCCCUGCCAGCUUCAGCAUGGACAUGGGUCUUUUCUUACCCUAUAUCUACAACUACGACCAGGCAAAAUACGUGGAAUACGCUCGCCCGCUGUUCGGUCGACCAGGCUUCACCAUAAACAUGUAUCUGUUACGCCCCAAGAGUCGCGGCGGUGUGUUCCUCCGCUCUAAGGAUCCCCAUGACCUCCCUAUCAUUGAUCCUAACUACCUGAGCCAUCCUGAUGACAUGCGGGACCUCAUUAAUGGUAUUAAGUUUACCAUGGCCGUGGGCAACACUACAGUUCUCCGAAAACACUUCAAUGCAAAGUUCCAUGAUAUGCCGCUGCCAGGGUGUAAGACCAAGCGGUUCGGCACCCACGCCUACUGGCAGUGUUACGUGGAGCACAUGGCAGGGUCCUUCUGGCACCCGGCGGGCACCUGCAAGAUGGGCCCCUCCAGUGACCCCCUGGCCGUUGUGGAUCCAAGACUCAGAGUGCGCGGGGUGGAGGGCCUGCGUGUGGUGGACGCCUCGGUCAUGCCUGUCAUCGUCUCUGGUAACACCAACGCGCCCACCAUCAUGAUCGCUGAGAAGGCCGCCGACCUCAUCAAGGAAGAUUGGAACGCUGUCGGUCACGAGCUCUGACGAUGCAAGUCUUCACUGAGAAAUGAUGGCUGUGUCAAUGACUCAAUGCUGGCAUACGUGGGAGUCUGUCUAUGGUAUAAACACAAGAGGCUGAAUCGCAAAGUGAUGCCAGUCAUGCCAUGAAGGGAAGGCUGGGAGCAUCGACUCCAUUUAAGACCAUAUAAGGGAACUAACAACCAAAUGGGCAUUUUUCUUUAUUUCACUCAUUAUGUUACCUUUGGCCAGCUUUCCCUUCUUACAUUAAAAAAAAAAAAAAAAUCAGAAUAAAGAUGUAGCAGAAAUAUCACCCACAGUUUAAAGGUUAAUAGAGGGUGUGAAUGUUGAGUGCGCCAUACACACUGAGGUAGUCUACCGGCCUUACACUGACAGCCGCCGGCUGACAGUGUCAUCCAUUCACUAUAUUUAGGCAGCCUCAAGGCACAGCUCAGUUCUAGCGAAACACCGUGGAGUGAUGAUGGCCUCUUCCUUAGGCGUGCGCGCACACACACAUACACAUACACACAGUCUUACCCGAAGAUCAGUCUAUGAGCUCUGAGCUCGCUCCGUAAUGGGGAAGACUGGCUGGGUGACCAGCAGAAAACCGUGGUGAAUUACACACACACACACACACACACACACACCACAUAGUGUAGUGGUUAGCAUACUCGGCUCACAACCGAGAAGGUUCGGGUUCGAGUUCUGAGCGCGGCAAGGCAAAUGGGCAAGCCUCUUAAUGUGUAGCUCAUGUUCAUUUAACAGCAAGUAGGUACGGGAUGUAGCUCGAGGGGUUGUGACCUCACUUUCCCGGUGUGUGGAGUGUGUUGUGGUCUC